UCAAUAUUUAGAUCUAUCAGUAGACUAAACUUUCAUUAGGAUCUAUCAGAACAUGGAAGACCUCAGCUGCAACUUUAAAUGGCUUUUCUCGGAGGAGAAAUUGCAGAACACGCCAAGUGUGGAAAGUGGUAUAAGUCUGGAGCAGGAAUUAACUUUUCGUCAGAAGCAAGCCAUGCUCAUACAGACAAUUGGAUUGAAAUCUGGCCUAACACAGUUAGCUGUGAACACAAGUGUCAUAUUUAUGCACAGAUUUUACAUGUUUCGGACUGUCAAGGACUUUCCUAGAGUCCAUCUUGCAUUAG
rnacentral:sRNA from 1 species